GAUGAACGCUAGCGGCAGGCCUAAUACAUGCAAGUCGAGGGGUAGAAGAGGCUUGCUUCUUUGAGACCGGCGCACGGGUGCGUAACGCGUAUGCAACCUACCUUCUUCUGGGGGAUAGCCCGGAGAAAUCCGGAUUAAUACCGCAUAAAAUCACAGGAUGGCAUUAUCCAAUGAUCAAACAUCUAUGGGAUGGAGAUGGGCAUGCGUGUCAUUAGCUAGUUGGCGGGGUAACGGCCCACCAAGGCGACGAUGACUAGGGGAUCUGAGAGGAUGGCCCCCCACACUGGUACUGAGACACCGACCAGACUCCUACGGGAGGCAACAGUAAGGAAUAUUGGUCAAUGGAGGCAACUCUGAACCAGCCAUGCCGCGUGCAGGAAGACUGCCCUAUGGGUUGUAAACUGCUUUUAUUCGGGAAUAAACCUUAUUACGUGUAAUAAGCUGAAUGUACCGAAGGAAUAAGGAUCGGCUAACUCCGUGCCAGCAGCCGCCGUAA
rnacentral:rRNA from 1 species